GGCUUGGCUGGCAAGCCCCACUGAGGAGCCGGAGCUUAGGCCGCACUUACCCCCGAGUCCACUCCCGGUCCCUGGCCCCUCAGCGACCUGGCGAACCGGGCGACGCUGAAGCGGCCCAUGGACUUCGGGACUAAGCUGCUGAGUCCCUGCUCCCCCGAAGCGGUGGCGCUGCGCCUCUCUGCCGGGCCCCACUCUGGGCCUCAGGCCCCGACGCCAAGCUGCCGCCGCCGCUUCAGACACAGACCCCACCGCCAAGUCUGCAGCAGCCCGCCCCACCCGGCAGCAAGCGGCGCCUUACAAUUCCAGAGCAAAUUUUUCAGAACACAAAACUGAAUAUAGUCGUUAUCAGAGGUGGAGACAUUUAGAAAUUGUUCUUAAUCAGAGUGAAGCUUGUGCUUCAGAAAGUCAACCUCACUCCUCAGCACUCAUAGCACCUAGCUCUCCAGAACAAUAUGAAGGAAUCUUUUGCGAAAUCCACAUAUGAUCAGAUUAUGCAACGAUAUGGGACAAGGCCAACAAGCCAUGUGUCCUGAAGCUUUGUCACAUAUCUG